rnacentral:rRNA from 1 species
AUGGCAACAAUGGCGCCCUCAUCUGCUCUGCUGCCACUGCUCCUGCUCCUGCCCCUGCUUCUCCUCUCCGUCGCAUGUACUGCAGGCGCGGCACCGGCAGCAACAGCAACGGUACCAACGAUACCAUCCCAGCCCGGCAAGCCGAACUCGAACAACAAGCAGAAGCAGGGGGGCGCGCCGCUGGGGCCGGCGGUGCGCGCGCUGGUGCAGUCCACCUGCAACGCCACCACCUACUACGACCUGUGCGUGGCCGCGCUCGUGGCGGACCCGGCCAGCUCCACCGCCGACCUCCGCGGCAUGUGCGCCAUCGCCGUCUCCGCGGCGGCCGCCAACGCCUCCGCCACCGCGUCGGCGCUCGCCAACACCACCUGGGCCGCCUCGGGCGCCCCGGAGACGGGCAGCGACGGGCGCGCGCAGCAGGUGCCGGCGCUCCUGACGCGGACUUGCGCCGGCAAGUACGGCGAGGCGCGGGAGGCGCUGCUGGAGGCCCGGGAGUCGGUGGGCGAGGAGGCGUACGACUACGCGUUCGUGCACGUGGGCGCCGCCGCCGAGUACCCCGCGGUGUGCCGGACGCUGUUCCGGAGGAAGCGGGUGCCCUACCCCGUGGAGCUGGCCCGGCGGGAGCAGGCGCUGGAGCACCUCUGCACCGUCGUCAUCGACAUCAUCACGCUCCUCGCCUAG